AAACUAGAAUCCUUCUAUGGAAUAAAUAAUAUUCAUAUAUAAUCUAAGUAGGUAAGAAGAUAAGUUAUAUAGGAUUAAUAAGUUGAAGUUAGAUGAUGAAAGUGUGCUAUUUUUAUUUAAUACGUGUUGAAUAUGGAAUACAUAUAUAAAAAUGCAGGAAUGUGUGUAUAUGUGUGCCUGCGGAAUUGAGAAUGAGUUGCUAAUUAUUUAUUAAAAGAACUAAAUGAUUCGGAUUCGAGGACAUUAGAGUCUAUUUAAUUAGAGUAUUGAAUUAGUAUAUGUAUUUGAUGAAAUUUACAUAAUGUUAGUUAGUGGAAUUUCUUAUAAUUAUUGAGAUAAAUAUUUUUCUGGAUGGAAUGGAUAUACAUGAUUUUUAUAAGGUUUGAAUAUUGAAGGAUUUGGUGUGAUUUGAUAUGAUAAUUGGUGAUGAGUAUUUUUCAUAAAGAAUAAUAUUGGUGGAAUUAUUAUAUGAAGUGAGUUUUAUUUAUGAAUAAUCGCUGCUUGGUAGAGUAAAGUGUAUUGUUGUAUUCAUCAACUAUUUUUUUU
rnacentral:lncRNA from 1 species